UACGAAGGGGGCUAGCGUUGUUCGGAAUUACUGGGCGUAAAGCGCACGUAGGCGGAUUGGCAAGUCAGGGGUGAAAUCCCGGAGCUCAACUUCGGAACUGCCUUUGAUACUGCCUGUCUAGAGUCCGGAAGAGGUGGGUGGAAUUCCUAGUGUAGAGGUGAAAUUCGCAGAUAUUAGGAAGAACACCGGUGGCGAAGGCGGCCCACUGGUUCGGUACUGACGCUGAGGUGCGAAAGCGUGGGGAGCAAACAGG
rnacentral:rRNA from 1 species